AGUGAACGCUGGCGGUAGGCCUAACACAUGCAAGUCGAACGGCAGCACAGUAAGAGCUUGCUCUUACGGGUGGCGAGUGGCGGACGGGUGAGGAAUACAUCGGAAUCUACUUUUUCGUGGGGGAUAACGUAGGGAAACUUACGCUAAUACCGCAUACGACCUUCGGGUGAAAGCAGGGGAUCUUCGGACCUUGCGCGAUUGAAUGAGCCGAUGUCGGAUUAGCUAGUUGGCGGGGUAAAGGCCCACCAAGGCGACGAUCCGUAGCUGGUCUGAGAGGAUGAUCGGCCACGCUGGAACUGAGCCACGGUCCAGACUCCUACGGGAGGCAGCAGUGGGGAAUAUUGGACAAUGGGCGCAAGCCUGAUCCAGCCAUACCGCGUGGGUGAAGAAGGCCUUCGGGUUGUAAAGCCCUUUUGUUGGGAAAGAAAAGCAGCAGGUUAAUACCCCGCUGUUCUGACGGUACCCAAAGAAUAAGCACCGGCUAACUUCGUG
rnacentral:rRNA from 1 species